rnacentral:lncRNA from 1 species
UUGUGUCACUCACUUGGAGCUUUUCUCUGGAACUUCCUUGGACAGCAACAAGUGCUCAUUAAGUCUUUAAUCCUAUUUAGGAUCCUUGUAAGUGACCUUAACCUCCCUUAAUCCAUUUUAGCUUAGUUAAUUAAGUAAAAGUCAAACCGUCGUAAUUAAGGUUUGACUUCGUGAUUAAUUAAAAUGUACUCUGUCAAAUCACGAAUUUAAGAUACCUUUAAGUAGGUAAUUAUGUGGGUAACAAACCCUUAAAAGGGUAUUUCCAUAUUCCUACUUUAAGCAUGUCAAUUGUCGAGUCAAAGCUAACUAUAAAAGUCAACAGAAUGCUUAAAUCCGAAUUAACUUAUAAUUAGCAAUGUAGGAUGCAUGCAACCUGUUUUAACAUUAAUGUCACUUGGUAAGUAAUGUAAGAACAUGUUCCAACAUGUUCCACUCGACAAUUUUCUGCUUAGACCCGGUUUGGAACCGAAAGUCGCAUAGUUUGACUUUCGCUUUGACUUUCAGUUCUGACCCAUUUUAGUCUAGAUUAAGAUUGCCUUAGAGCUUCUUUUGGACCUAAUAACAUGUUAGUAUAUCCUCCUGUGAUUAUACAACUUGGUUCAUUAGAUAUCUUGAUCGUAUGCAUGUUUCCGUUAAAUGCCCAUAUGUUGACCAUUAUGCCCAAAUGUCCAUAAAUCAUGAUUUUUGAGAAUAAAAAGGGUAGACAUCUUAGUUACUGAAUUAUAGACUUGUCCCCAAAAUUUGACAUCAGUUUGAGGUCUAGAUUAAGAGUUAUGCUCAUUAGCGUAAUUAGAAGCUUUCUUAGUAAAUAGUUAGCGUAAUUAGCAUGUAACCUACCUAAACCCAAAUUUUAUAUCAAAACCUUAUACCCACUGUUAUAUAAUAAUAUUUUGGGAAUAUUAAAGAUUUUUAUUUAUUUUUAGGCUGAGCAUAACAUAAGGUUUUAAGCUUAAUUCGGCUUAUGCCGGUUUUGCCCUUUUAGACCAUAAAAUGAGUUUUACAAAACCUUUUGACCCCAAACCUUUUUCUACUGAUUUGUUAUGUUAAAUAUAUUAUUUUGAGCCUUCUGGAAUUAUAAAAAUAUCAGCUUUUCUUUAAAACCCGGAAAUGGCUCCGAAUCGCCUUUUUAGGCAUUUUUACGACAUAGUAUAUGUUAAAACUAGUUUAUAUACAUAAGGUUUAAUACCUACUGAUAUAAUUAGUAAAAUUUUAUAUCAUAACAGUAAAAUUAAGGUUGAGAACUCAGGUUUCCAUUUUUGACCUUUUAAGUUUAUGUGAAAUUACCAAAAUGCCCUUAUGAGGCGUAAAGUGAGUUGAAAAUCAUUUGGGGCAUAAUAGGACAUAACUUACUGAUAUUACAACAUAUUUGGUGCAUAUAAUCUCAGGAAACUUGUAUAUGAUUUAUAUGGUUACCCGUUACGCACUUUCGCGUUCGGAUCGGCUUAUGUAACUAGUUUACGCACAUUAGCCGAAACGGGCUAAACCGUAUCAUCUUAGUCUCUAAAUUCAGAAUGUAUUUAGUUUACCCAUAAUAUACAAGUCUCCAAACUUGUCGGGUCUAAGUCACAUUCCUUUUCGGUUUUCGCUUUCCUCGCGAUUAAACCAUGUUUAUCCUUUGAAACUAACCGGUCUAAGCUUAGGCUAUAUUAAAAGACCCGUUAGGAUUCUAAUAGGUUAUUAUAAACCUUCGUUCCAGAAUAGGAGCCCAGUAAAAGACACUUGCAUUUUGCUUUUGUGGUUUAUACUUGCUCAGGUAAAUACUUUUAACUUAUUUUCCGUUAUACGGGCUUGGGGGUACGGUAUAUAAAAUACCGCUUGGUCGGGCAAUUGACCCUAACUCAUUAGUAGUUGGGUAUUAUCAAUGUGACCCGUUUGAAAACUAGUUUUGUUUGUUUUACGCCUUUGGGAGUUUAAUGACCAUGUCCCGGAUAUCCUUGGCAUCAUUUUAAGAAAUGGCCACGACCUUGACACCCGGGUGUAGGCGUACACCCGGUAAUGUGUCCAUUUAUUAAGGUAUAAACGUUGGCUUCCCGCCGCGGAUUUAUACUGAUUGGUGUGUCAAUUAACCUUAAACCCGGCACGACCCGGGCGACUAAACGCAUAACGAACAUGUAAUUCUUUUACAAGUUUAACUUUGAUUAAUUAUUCCCAAGUUAUAAAAUGUUUUGUGCCUUGUGCAUUCAAAUCAAUUUUUAAACCUUUUCAAAAUGAGUCGGUUAAAUUGUAUUUACCAGUGCAAACUGACGUAUUUUCCCCAAAAAGAUUAAGUGCAGGAUCUACAUGGAAUAGGCUGGUUUCUCCUUAGCAUCAUAGAGUCUCGCAAAUUUUGGGAUGCAAUUAUCUAUAUUACAUUUGAUGGUUGAAGUAAAUCUAUUUUUAUUGCUUCCGCUGUGCAUUAUAAUUUGUGUUGUUUGA